UGGGCUAUUUAUUCCUAGGCCUUCUCCUCUCUCUUCCCAGAGAUUCUUCCUCUCUUUCCCUUUCACCCAGACUUCUCCACCCACGGGUGCUGCCAGCCCCGCUGUGAUGCCGUUACUAACCAAGGAGCCUUGUUUAAAUGCUAGUUACUUCAGGGGGAAAGCCCACCAGCUGAAAGGGAAAAAAACCAGAGAGGAAAUAUUCCGCUGAUCUAAUGCUUUCCCACAGCCUGCAGCACCAUCACAGCUCCUGAGCACCGCUCUUCAGAAAGCCUCCUCGAGCAUUGUUCAAGGGAUCACCGACAUUUUCUGGAUGUGACAAUGUAGUGAACUUAGAGGUCAGCAGUCACACCAUUUCUGUCUAACAGCUCAGGGCGAGUGUGGCCAUCCUUUUGGGAUGUCAGCAGUACUUCCGAAUCAGGGUGGCUAUGUUCUAGAGACAGUUCAUCAACGCAAACAAGAAACUUCUUGGAUUUCUCUCCAGCAAAGGGCCCACACUGUGCUGUUCCUCUUAAGGCUGCUUUCUGAAGGGCUGUGCGUGGAAGUAUGUGUGAGGUAAAUGGAUGCAUUAACUUUGGCAUAGCCGUAAAAUGGAAUACUGUAUAGUAUUAAAAAGGAAAUAAAUAUUGAUAUACUGCUGAGGUUUAACUGUUGAGGAUGAUAAACCUCAAGUUCGUUCUGCUCAGCAGAAGGGAUACACACAACAGCAAGGAUAAAGACGAUCUUCAGGUUGACAGAUUCAUUCUGUGUCAAGAUCCUUUAAAUAUGACAUUUUAAAUGGGUGGUGAUUCGGGAGGAACACAGGGCUUAGUGGCCUUGGAAGAAUGCAAAACCCUCGGUAAACAGAAAUAUGUUAAUGAGGGAAAAUUGCAUGAGAUAUAAACACCCACAGCACGGAUCUCAGAGAUGAAGAUGAACACCGGAGCAGAGGGAACUUUGGAAUGACUGACUGCCUUCUUUCUCAUCCACUAUAAAGUGUCAAAGACAAAGUGGAUAUUUUAGGAUAUUGAUCCUGCAUCUUCCCAGACUGCUGCCUCUGAAUGAAACACAACUUAGAGAUUCGAUUCUUGCCACUGAUAUUUGUGGUGAUGGGCAUUGUGAACUCUGGUACUUUUGUUACAGAGGGAUGGAGGAUGAUGAGGGAUGGAUUGAUAAUUGGGGCAUGGGUGAAUGGAUGGACAUGGGAAUGGUGAAUGAAUAUAUAGACGGCAGAGAAUGGGUAGGGGAUGGGGGUUAUGGAGGUAUGGACGGGGAUGGAUGGGAGGACCUACAUUCAUAUGGAUGGGUGACCACUCAAAGCAGAAAGCACACAGAUGCGGACAGGAACCCUUUGUGCAUCUUAGCAGUUGUGUAAACAGAUGAAUGGUGGGUAUGUACAAUGGUGGGUUUGCACUGACAUCUUCAAGGUGGAAGUUCUUUGUGUAGGUUUUCUAAUUUUACUCUCAUGACUGUGUGUGUGUGGGAGGGGACUCUUUAUAACACUAUCUUUAUGGAAACCAAGACUCAGAGAGGCCAUAUUAGGCUUUGCUACAAGGACUUCUAUUGGGUUAUGGAUAAUCACCGCAUCUUGAUAGUGGAAUAGUCUUGAUUCCUUUGGCAUAACAAACAGUUCAUGGAAAAACUCCAGUUUUCUCCAGAGUGUCAAGAUUGAUCAUUUUCUGUGUAUGCCUUGAUGUGGGAAAGGUACAGGUAGUUGACUGAUUUGCAGUUCCCACUGAUCAGUGAUGGAGGGAAGAUUCACACCUGGACUGGUAUCAGGGAAAGUCCCAGCUCCCAGGUCUCAGUUUUUGAAAGCAGGUAGCAGCCAACCACGACCAUCCUGAGCUUUCCCACAGUUGGUAGGGAAGCUGCCGUUCAUGCAACGUGUAGGUGUGGACAUUGGUGCGUCCCUCAUGCUCCACCCCAGACCUCUGACUCUCUGAGCUGUACCCAGGUUGUGUUGUCUCUGACUAUGCAGAGCAGAGACACUGAGUUGGUAUAGUCAGGCCUGUUCAGCCUGCAUCCUGUGGGUGUGUACAUAGGUGGCUACAGGAAGGGAAGGAUAACUUACUUAAAACAUUAUCAGAUUUCGCAAUAUUUUUUUGUAACUUGAUUGCCUUGUUCUUGAAUGUGAACUUUGUAGAUAACAAUAUUGUGUCACGAUGUCAAAAGGUUGGACAUGCCUUUUGUCCAUGCAUGCAAUGGGCCCUGUCCAGUAGAAGAACAGGAUGCUGAAAGGUCUGUGGAAACGUGUCCUUCUAGAAGUAUGGGGCAGUUUACAGGGCUUUGAACCUCUUGUUCAGCAGCCCCUUGUAGACUUUGUAAUUAAAUCCUUAGCCACCCUACAGUCUCUGCUUAAGUGACACUAUUUUAUCACGGUAAGAUGGGCUGGCAGCUUUCUUCUCAGCCAUGGUUACAGCAGCAUCCCUCGGGGGUUAUCCCACCUCUGAGGAUUAUGCUCAGCCUCAGCAUCACUCAGUGGGAGUGGUUUGAGGCAGUGCAAGAACACACAUGGGUUGACUCUGCUUCCAGAGAUCUAGUGCCUGUCAUGAUGUUUCUUCUUUGGCAUGGUGGCACUGAGGUUGGGGUUACCCCACUAGUGAAACCUCAGAUUUCCCCAUCUAGAUACCCCACUGCUUCCUUUCAUCCCACCGCAACAAAGACAAUACUUUCAUCUCUUCUGUGUAACAGAGCGUGAGGGGCAUCCUUGCCACCUUUGCCUCAAACCACUUAGUUUUUUUGGAUAAUGGAAGACCAUAGAAGAAUUAAGGAUCUCUUCCAUAUUUCUUCUCACCAGCAGGAAAUCUGGUAGACCAGUAUGGAUAACUCAGCUGGGUGUCUGCUUCUGGGGGAUCGCCUUUUUUCAGAUCCAGAAUCUGUCUGUCUGUCUAUCUACUUAUAUUAUGAAUGCUAACUAUGUUCCUCCCAAAACUGCCUGCACGAGUGUCUGCAUGUAGCUUCUAGGAACCUGCCUCAUUUGGUUUUGAUUGGUAAAUAAAGAUGCCAACAACCAAUAGCUGUGAGGACAGACAGAGGCUGGACUUUAGGAUUCUUGGGCUUGGGACCAUGAGGAAGAAGGAGAGAUCUGCCAUGCUGGAAGGAUGUGUAGGAGAGGAGAGAUGCCAUGCCUGAGAAUAAAGCAGGACAGAGAGGCAUAGAAUCUAGAGCAGCCAAGAUAGAACAUAGAACUUGGUAAGUAAUAACUUGGAAUUAUCAGUGCGGGGUAGAUUCUACCAGCAGUAGAUGUUAGGUGGUGGCCUAGCUAUUGUGCCGUUUAAGGAAUAUUAAAAUAUAAAGA
rnacentral:lncRNA from 1 species